rnacentral:rRNA from 2 species
UCGGAGAGUUUGAUCCUGGCUCAGGAUGAACGCUGGCGGCGUGCCUAAUACAUGCAAGUCGAGCGAACUGAUUAGAAGCUUGCUUCUAUGACGUUAGCGGCGGACGGGUGAGUAACACGUGGGCAACCUGCCUGUAAGACUGGGAUAACUUCGGGAAACCGAAGCUAAUACCGGAUAGGAUCUUCUCCUUCAUGGGAGAUGAUUGAAAGAUGGUUUCGGCUAUCACUUACAGAUGGGCCCGCGGUGCAUUAGCUAGUUGGUGAGGUAACGGCUCACCAAGGCAACGAUGCAUAGCCGACCUGAGAGGGUGAUCGGCCACACUGGGACUGAGACACGGCCCAGACUCCUACGGGAGGCAGCAGUAGGGAAUCUUCCGCAAUGGACGAAAGUCUGACGGAGCAACGCCGCGUGAGUGAUGAAGGCUUUCGGGUCGUAAAACUCUGUUGUUAGGGAAGAACAAGUACAAGAGUAACUGCUUGUACCUUGACGGUACCUAACCAGAAAGCCACGGCUAACUACGUGCCAGCAGCCGCGGUAAUACGUAGGUGGC